rnacentral:lncRNA from 1 species
AGGUAUUCUCUUACAAUAGGCUAAUUAUUGUAUCCCCUCUGCUGACCAGAUGUUCUCACAGGGGCUCACUGGUUCACACAGGCACUGCUUUUUUCUUAAGGAUGAGUAGCUGAAGAUGAAGAUAAUAACUGAGGAACCGAGACCUGCUCCAGCAAAACACCUAAGCAUACAAUGAAGUAUUCUUUUGAUCAAGAGCUGAGAUACUUCAAAGAGAGAUGUAUUAUGGCAUCAUGGAGAAAGUGGCUUGAUGUUUUGCCUCAUUCAGGAGGUAAACCAGACUGUCUUCAUGGUUCAUUAAUUUACCGGCUAACGUGUAACACCAUCCAAGAGUUCUCCAGUCCAACAGCAGAGCCAGGCACUGCUGUACUGUCUUUGAUGACAGCGUGCUAAUCCUGCAGAGCCGCAUAUUUGGCUGACACUUUGAAUGGCUGCUGUGGCCUCCUGUCAAAUUACGCAGCAUCUACUUUAUUCCAUGCUUCAUGGUUUGGGACUUCUGGCAAAGCAUGAGAUCAGCCUCUGCUCAAUAGUUCAUAUGCUGGCUGUGAGACCUUUUGCGGCCUGCAGCUUUUCUGUCCACCAAUUUUGGAGGAGCUUUGCCUGCAGAAGGCUCACUACUCCUUUCUGUAGAGGACCAGAAUACAUGUCACUCUGCUGGGGAUAUUUUGAGUUCUCUAGUACAUUUCCAGGUGAAAAAGUACAAUCCUGGCUAGAAAGCUGA